rnacentral:lncRNA from 10 species
CCCACUCCAGGGGCCAGGCACAGUGGCUUAUGCCUGUAAUCCCAGCACUCUGGGAGGCCAAGGUGGGCAGAUAACUUGAGGUCAGGAGUUCGAGACCAGGUGAUCCGCCCGUCUCGGCCUCCCAAAGUGCUGGGAUUACAGGCGUGAGCCACCGCGCCCGGCCGGUCGUUGGGAUUUUAACAGCCCUGAGGCCCCUCACGCUGCCAGGUGCCAGCCCACCCUGCAGCCCUGCUCCCCUGCCCACACGCAGAAGCCACCAGAGGCUUCUGGACUGAGCCCCCACUGUCCUGCAGCCGGGCUGGCCUGUCCACACCACAGGGCGUGCUCAGCUACUGAGCAGAAGCGUCACGGACAGGGCAGAUCAGGCCAGGACAAAGCUCUUCCGCCACAGGCGGGGGUCUGAAGGCAUCUCAGAGGGCCCCCAAACAAGGGACGCUGCCUGGAAACCCCGGGACAAGAUGACCUCGGUUCAGAUCUUAGCACCUUCUGGCAACCUUAGAGAAAGCUUCUGGAGGGAGGGGCUGGUUCCCAGGAUGGGCAGAAGCCGGAAAGUCUCAGACUGAGUGACCCUCGGGGGCUUCAGAAGGCACUGGGUGGGCUCUGCCAGAGUGAGAAGGCAGCUGAUGGCUGCUGGAGCCAGCCCCGGGAGUGGGGGUCCAGCUAUGGUCUGGAGAGGGGGACUUGAGGGUUGCAGUGGCCACACAGACGGGGCACAGGAGCCAAAGGAAGGGACACAGCAAAGCCCAAGGGUAAAACGGCGCGCCGUGGACUGGUCUGAGGGCAGAGGCUGUAGGGGAGCGAGGGGCGGUGUGGCUGACAGGUGGACACAGGGACACGUGUCCUGUGGACUUGGCCGCUCAGUGGGGGUGUGUCCCCCAGCAGUGGCGUGUGAGGGAUGGUCACUCUGAUGGGACACUGACCACUUGGCCUCCAGCAAGAUCUAGGCCCAAGUCUAGGCUGAAGCCGCCCACUCAGCCCCGGGACAUCGUCCCCGGCAGCUCUGCUGAGCACGCCAGCUCCGGCACUCUCCGGGAGUCAUGGCCGGAAGUCAACUGUCCUGGCUUCCAGGGCCACACCUUGGCCAGGCCUGGUGAUGGUCAUUUCCAGCCGCUCCAGUUGGGCUGAUGGGGCCACAUGAGGCCGGGGAUAGAAGGUGGCUGCGCUCAGACACCCCUCCCGGCCCCACUGGAUGCCCAGGGCGCUGACCUGCAGGACUCGGAUGGGUUUUCUCCUGCCACCCCUGCCUGGCCGGCCACCAUCCCAGCGCCAGCGCCCUCCUGAGAGGUGCAGGGGCCGCGUGGGGCCUCCCAGAGUGGCAGGUUGGCAGCCUGCACGCCGGUGACGGCGUCCUUCUCCGUGGUGAGGCUUGGUCCCUCCUCGCCAGAAACACCAAUUCUCUGACGUGAGCUGCACAUCCACUGCCCAGCCAUGUUUACUCUUCUGCCUCCUGUAGACGCAGCCGCGGCGGCUCUCCCUGGCAGGCCACCCGCCGUCCUGCCUUUUCUCCGGGUCAGGCCGCCUGUCUGCCGGGCUCCACGAUGAGCGCGUUCUCAAGCUGAGCAGGCGCCAGAAUCCCAUAGAGAGGCUUGUUGAGACACAGCUUCCCCACCCCCAGCUCGGACGCAGGGGCCUGGCGUGGCCUCCUCACGGGCACGGUGUGGAAACACCACUGGCGGUUACCGUGGUCUGCCGGGUGCAUGAGCCCCUGGGGUGGCCCCGUCCCUUGUUUCUGACCAGCCGGAUCCUCUCCAGCGGCAGGAGCAGAGAGGGCCCGGAGGUCCAGACGGUGCUCUCUGCGGCCAGC